ensembl:lncRNA
AGGACAUCUCCUCACCCCAUAGCGCCCCAUAGGACCUCUCCCCCCCCCAAUACCAGGUCCAUGUGCUUGAGGCUGUCCAUAGGGCAUCUCCUCACCCCCAUACCGCCCCAUAGGGCAUCUCCUCACCCCCAUACCACCCCAUAGGGCAUCUCCUCACCCCCAUAACACCCCAUAGGGUUCUUCCUUCACCGCAUAGUGCAUCUCCUCACCCCCCCACCACCCCAUAGGGCAUCUCCUCACCCCCAUACCACCCCAUAGGGUUCUUCCUCCACCCCAUCACCUCGUAGGUCAUCUCUUCACCCCCCUACCACACUAUAGGGUUCUUCCUCCACCCCAUACCGCCCCAUAGGGCAUCUCCUCAUCCCAUAGGGC